UACAGAGGUCUCAAGCGUUAUUCGGAAUCACUGGGCUUACAGGGUGCGUAGGCGGCUUGUUAAGUAGGGUGUGAAAGCCCCCGGCUCAACCGGGGAAUUGCGCCCUAAACUGGCGAGCUGGAGUGAGAUAGGGGUGUGUGGAACUUCCGGUGGAGCGGUGAAAUGUGUUGAUAUCGGAAGGAACACCGGUGGCGAAGGCGGGUCUCUGGGCCGUAACUGACGCUGAGGAGCGAAAGCAUGGGGAGCGAACAGG
rnacentral:rRNA from 1 species